rnacentral:rRNA from 1 species
AAUUUGGGUCAAUGGGGGCAACCCUGAUCCAGCCAGCCCUCGUGUGCGAUUAAUGCCUUAUGUAANUCAAGCACUUUUUGCAGGGANGAAAAGGCUCUUGCUAAUACCUGGAGCUGCUGACAGCACCUGCAUAAUCAGCACCGGCUAACGAAGUGCUAGCAGCCGCGGUAUUACGUAGUGUGCAAGCGUUAAUCGGAAUUACUGGGCGUAAAGCGUGCGCAGGCGGUUCGGCAAGAAGGAUGUGAAAUCCCAGGGCUUAACCUUGGAAGUGCAUUAUUAACUGCUGGGCUAGAGUAUGUCAGAGGGGGGUAGAAUUCCGCGUGUAGCAGUGAAAUGCGUAGAGAUGCGGAGGAAUACCGAUGGCGAAGGCAGCCCCCUGGGAUAAUACUGACGCUAAUGCACGAAAGCGUGGGGAGCAAAC